GAGCUGUAACACUCGCCACUGCCGUCCACGGCUUCAUUCCUUGAAGCCGUGAGACCACGAACCCUUCGAUUGAGAAGAACCUUCGGUCGGAAGAAGACUUCUCGUCUCAGUAACAAUAACAAGAAAAACAGCCUAGACUAGACGCACAUCAGGAAGACAGUUAAUCCCGUCAUGUAUUGACCCGGAAACAUCAUCUCAUUUGCCUAUAAGACAGAGAGAGAGAAUGAUAGAAAUGCUGGAAGAACGAGCCUUGGGGCGGUAUCGCCCAGAUCUGAAUCCACACAGCAGCUGCUUCGGUCCCUGUAACUCAAGGCUUCCUCUUAAUCCUCUGUCCUCCAUCAACACCUGGCUGAGCAGGAACAACUAUGACCUAGGACCAGGGCCUUCAGGAAUCUUCACCCCUAACUUGAACUUCAUAACACUGGAGAGAGAGACUGUGGAAUGGAAUGACUCUCCAGAGCUGCAGAUUGAAGGCAUAUUUUCAUCUGACUUUGGUGAUUAUGUUUCCAAUCUCUCUGGGAAUAAGAUCUCAAUGGCGGGAACACCUUCAUGGCCCCUUUAUAGCUGGUAUGUUUUCUUCUUAUGGACAAUGAGAAACAUGUAAUAAACUGUGUUUCCUUCUCGCUAGGAAACCCUGAGUUAAAGCUUUACUUCCCUCUCAGGAACCAUCAAAGAGCCAUAAUCUGUACACCCUGGUGCAACAUUUCCCCUGGAUUUGAUCCCCUUUCAAUUGUUUUAGCCUUAUUUUACAUUUCUUAAAUCUAUUUCUCUAUGUUGCCAUGUGUAUUAUCAAAUGCUAUUUCAGAUGCCAACCAUGAGCUAAAGCAUAUGUUGGAAUUAUUAAGAGAAACAGAGGGAUAUACUUAUGUAAAAUAACACAUAUAAAUGCAAUGCUGAUUUUUUUUCCUUAA
rnacentral:lncRNA from 1 species